rnacentral:lncRNA from 1 species
GAACAGAACCUCCCUAUGUGUAUGGAAUGAGGACAGAAAUGAAAAAUUCAGUCUUUACUUCCUUUUGUAAACUAGAGAGAAGUUUUUAUAGGACUGUAAAGAUUAAGCAAGACAGCCUAGGGGCCGAGGAUUUAGCGGUCUGCCGCAGCCUGCCUCGAAAGUGCAAGUUCCCGAGUUGGAUCCCCGGUACCAAAAAAAAAGACAGCCUAAGACCUGUGAGAGACGCAUGGCUGAACAUGUGUCUCGUCAUUGAAAGAGGUGGCCUGAGUCUGUGUUGGCUUUUCCAUUCUCUUCCACUCCUUUUGGGCUUCCGCACCCCUCAUUCUCCGUCAGAAGACACCCAGGUCUGCCAGCAGGAAGGCAGCCUAGGCACUGUUGAUGGUUGUGUGUGCCCAGCUGAGAUCCGGCCAUGUGUGCUGUGGUCCUUUCAGACCCGGAGGUGGCUCUUGACAAGCCCUCACCACUGUACUGACAGGGCUGCCUCCUAGCUGUGUCUUCCUUCACGUGAGACCCUAAGCAGCUGGCCCUGCUCUACCUGAGGUGCAGGUACUGAGCCUCACAGGACAGGGGGUUCUCCACAGUCCAGACUGCACAGGUGCCUUGAGCUGCGCCGGGAUCUGUAUACAGUCAGGGUGGAAGGUGGAUGGAGAAGGAUUGAAAAGUGCAGAUGGGGUUGGGGGUGAGACGAGAUGUUGAAGAUGGCCUCCAGCUUUGAGGCUCCCUGAUUCCAAUGCCUCACCUGUGUUUUAUAGGGCAAACUAGUGACAAAACUGAAUCAGGACUUGGCAUGGCUGCUUGAGUCCUUCAGGUCUUAGAAUAUCAAAGCACACUCAGCACACAUUAUCUACAGGAGAAGCUGACUCACCUUGGAAGGUGUCCUUUCACCUGUAACACCAGCCACCCUGGGGUCCUAGGGUGAGUUGGGGAUCUUCCAUAGAGCAUGGAUCGGGCAGGGCUUGGCAGGACACCCUGGUUGGCUGGGCAGCCCGUGCUAAGUGAGGGGAGGCUGGGAGCUGGCCCUGUGCCCUUGACUUGUUCUUUGUCUUCCUUAAUCACUCAGCCCCUCGGGUAAAGGGAGUGCAGCCAACAGUUCUUGAGUGUAUUUGAGCACCUGGCAGAAGCAAGUUACAUAGGGUUCACACACAUGCGCGCGUGUGCACACACACGCACACACACUGUGUUAGUCUGUUCAGGAAACUGCAGAAAAUAAAGAUGAGCAAACAGAAGGAAGUAAAAUUAACCUCACCACCCCACCACUUUGAAAUAAUCUCUUGGUGUUAGGAGCGUGUUCUUCUAGUUUAGAAUGUUUUUAUUAAAAAUGGAAAAUGUUGGUCCGGGGAUUUAGCUCAGUGGUUCUGCCACCUGCCUCGAAAGAACAAGGUCCCAAGUUCGAUCCCCGGUACCAAAAAAACAAAACAGAACAAAAAAAAUAGAAUAUGUUGUCUUAAAACAUUUUGUUCAUUUUCCAUAUACGCUUUUCACAUAUUCUUUUCCACCCAAUUCUGCAUUAUUGGAUACCAGCCAAAAAUUAGAAAAAACCCAUCUUAUUUAAGAUAGAUAACACAUAAACCUGGUAAAGAAAAAAGUCAUGCAUGUGAAACAAUAGUGAAAAGAUUUUCCUUCCCUGUCCCCUAAUUUCUCUCCCUGAAAGGCACUAAUGAUCUCUUUCGCAUGAAUCCUGUAAGAGUUAUUCUGUGCAUAAAUUGUGUGUGUUUUGAUACAUGGUAGACACAUAGUACACACUCAACCAAUUCAUUAUUAUAAUGUUUGCAUUUUAAUAAUGUAAAGUUUUUAGUGAAACCAUAGUAUGUAAACCCUAUGAGCAGAAAUGAUGUUUUUGUCUUCUGCCCAUUGUAAAAAUAAUGGUAUGUGGUAGGUACUCAAUAGAUUGGUACUGAAUAAAUAACUAUAAUAUUUUCUUUGGUCAUUUUCUAUUCAAAUAUGUACAUUUUAUUUUAUAAAUAUGCUAAGAGUAUAUUACAGUUCUGAAACUCAAUUUUUUUCCUUAAUUGUCAGUACUACAAAGCUGGCUAUGUCCUUCACUAUUCUCCAACCUCAUGCAUAAUGUUUUAUUUUAUGGAUGCAUCAUGGUUUGACUAACCCAGUUCCUUGUUGGAUAUUUAGGUGGAGCUGCUUAUUCACUUUUUUGAAAUUGAAGCAUAAUUUUUAUAUGGUACAACGUACAGAUCAUAAGUGUACGCACAGCUUUACAGUGCACAGUGAGUUCUGACAAGUGUGUAUGCUCAUGCCACUACCAUGACAGUCACGGUGGAGGACAUGACCAUCAGCUUAGAAAGAAAGCUCCCUGUUCCCCUGCUCGGCCUGUCGCCCCCCCCAUCCUGCCCUCAGCCCCAGACAAUCACUGAUCUUCUUUUGUGGAAGAUACAUCUUUUCAGGAGUUUCACAUAAAAGGAGGUGUAUUGGGUACUCCUUUUGCCUGCCUUUUUAAGAUUUGUAGCAUGCUUAUGUGAUGCAUGCAUGUGGUUGCAUCUAUCUGUGUUUUUUGUUUCCAGGUAGUACCACUGCAUGUAUGCAACACGGUUUGUUCACCCGUUCCCCGCUUUGAAUGCCUGUCAGAUCUUUCCACCGUACCAGUUGAUUUCACAUAACAUUGUGGCAGUGAUCCCUGCCUAUAUACCUGUGAGUAUGCUCACAAGAAUAAAUUCCUAAAAUGAAAUUGGUGUUCACCGGAUAUGAUUUUAAGAACCUUGCAUGUCAUCAGUUAAUAAUUUCCCAAGAGGCUGCACCAGUUUACACUUCUGCUAGUGGUGUGGCAGAAUGCCUGCUUCUCAGGGAGUGUGCUAAAUAAUUUUAAAACUUAGUGCCACCUGGAUUAGUUACAAAUAGUCUCAUCAGGCAUGGUGGCGCACAACCAGAAUCCUAGGACCUAAGAGGCUGAGGCAGGAUGAUUGCAGUGAGUUUCAAGCCAGCCUCGGU